AUCCGGUGGUUCUGCGGGGAAGGGCCAUCGCUCAACGGAUAAAAGCUACCCUGGGGAUAACAGGCUUAUCUCCCCCAAGAGUCCACAGCGACGGGGAGGUUUGGCACCUCGAUGUCGGCUCAUCACAGCCUGGGGCUGUAGUAGGUCCCAAGGGUUGGGCUGUUCGCCCAUUAAAGUGGUACGCGAGCUGGGUUCAGAACGUCGUGAGACAGUUC
rnacentral:rRNA from 1 species